rnacentral:rRNA from 1 species
UACAGAGGGUGCAAGCGUUGCUCGGAAUUAUUGGGCGUAAAGCGCGUGUAGGCGGCUACGUAAGUUGGGUGUGAAAGCCCUCGGCUUAACCGAGGAAGUGCGCCCAAAACUGCGAGGCUUGAGUACCGGAGAGGAUGGCGGAAUUCCCGGUGUAGUGGUGGAAUGCGUAGAUAUCGGGAGGAACACCAGUGGCGAAGGCGGUUGCCUGGGGCUUUGCUGACGCUGAUGCGCGAAAGCGUGGGGAGCGAACAGG